rnacentral:tRNA from 1 species
UUUUAUUUUUUGUAUCACAGGGAUUUUGAAAGUCUCUUAAGAGUUGUACUACUCACCUAGUGAAAUC